UGAGAGGUCGUGUGGGAUGAUGCCGUGUCGACGGCUGCCGAGGAACCCGGUGCGAGUCCGGGGCGGUCCCGCCACUGUCACCUGCCGUGCGCAGGGAGCCAGAACGUCGGUGGUCGUUGCCUGUGC
rnacentral:ncRNA from 19 species